rnacentral:lncRNA from 1 species
AUAUCUGUACCAUCUCUUCAGGGUCUUGCCUGAACCGUUCUGGUUGCUGCUGUUACUUUCACUAUCUAAAGAUGAGUUCUUCUCUACAUACCUUCUGGAGUUGUACAUAUCUGGUGUAAAAGGCUCUUUUAAUUGAAUUAGAUGAGUUCUUCGUGAUGUGCAUGGGGAAAUAAUUGAAUUAGAAAUAACAUGUCUUUUAACUUGAGCUAGAGGGAAAAGCCGAGGAAUAUGACAACAACUGAUUUGUGGCAGGC